GACAUGGACUAGAUUCUCCACCUGUUGGGGGCAAUCUGGUCACCUUGCUGCCCAAUCCUGACCUGGAGCCACCACAGCACAAGUGUCAAGCACUGGCAGAAGCCCAUGGGUGGAGGAAAGACCUCUGCGACUGGCUGAUUGACCCCUGCUGAAAGCCGAGGACCUUGUCCACAGACGGGAACAGUUCUCUUCAUGAAGGUCAGAGAUAAGUGGGUGCUGCCGUGGUGGACAGCACAAUGUCAUCUGGGAUGGCUGAACUUCUACCCCCCAGCACAUCAGCGCUGCAGAUGCCUUUACCAUCUCUUGGAUGCCCUGGUGAAGCCAACAACUGUGAGUACUAUUCAUUGCUCAGGAUAUCAGAAGGAAGAGAUUCAGUGGCAUGGGACAGUAACAAAGCAGAUAAAGUGGCUCGGAAAAUGGCUAUGCAGGAGCCUAUCCUGGUUACAGGCGUACAAGAGACAGCCACUGGGAACUGGGAUUGGACUAAGGGAUGGCCUCACUUAAAAUGUACAACAGAAGAAAAGGCCCAAA
rnacentral:lncRNA from 1 species